GUAGGGUGCAAGCGUUAAUCGGAAUUACUGGGCGUAAAGCGCGCGUAGGUGGCUUGAUAAGCCGGUUGUGAAAGCCCCGGGCUCAACCUGGGAACGGCAUCCGGAACUGUCAGGCUAGAGUGCAGGAGAGGAAGGUAGAAUUCCCGGUGUAGCGGUGAAAUGCGUAGAGAUCGGGAGGAAUACCAGUGGCGAAGGCGGCCUUCUGGACUGACACUGACACUGAGGUGCGAAAGCGUGGGUAGCAAACAGGAUUAGAUACCCUGGUAGUCCACGCCGUAAACGAUGUCGACCAGCCGUUGGGUGCCUAGCGCACUCUGUGGCGAAGUUAACGCGAUAAGUCGACCGCCUGGGGAGUACGGCCGCAAGGUUA
rnacentral:rRNA from 1 species